UACGUAGGGUGCAAGCGUUGUCCGGAAUUAUUGGGCGUAAAGAGCUCGUAGGCGGUUUGUCGCGUCUGCUGUGAAAUCCCGAGGCUCAACCUCGGGCCUGCAGUGGGUACGGGCAGACUAGAGUGCGGUAGGGGAGAUUGGAAUUCCUGGUGUAGCGGUGGAAUGCGCAGAUAUCAGGAGGAACACCGAUGGCGAAGGCAGGUCUCUGGGCACUUACUGACGCUGAGGAGCGAAAGCGUGGGGAGCGAACAGG
rnacentral:rRNA from 1 species